rnacentral:misc_RNA from 1 species
GAAGCUGCAUGUGGAGUUGAAAUCUUGAUCUGGGUAUGCAAAUUUGCAGCAACUAAAGCACUAUAAAGUGACUCUAUAGCAGGCAUAAGCAGAGGAGCUGAAGAGGGAACAGUUGUCAACAACUCGUCACCAACAGCAAUUGCAGUGAUUAGAGUUUCAGGAUAGUAUGCAACAACAUUGCGAUCAAUCCAGGAGGCCGCUGUGGUAUUGGAGGAUCCAAUCGCAAGAAUCUGGUUAUUGGGGACGCUAAUGAUAACUCGGAUCUUAGUUUUAGCCAAGGCUUUGAGGAUGUCAGGGUCCGCAUCGUAUAGGCGGACUUGGGUGAUCUUUUGAAUUUGCAGAAACGAAACAAGGUCUGUCGCUGACAAGAUAUUGGAAACGUCUGUGCC